AUGUCGUGGGUCCCACUGGACUCCCGUCCCUCAUUCACAGCUGAGGGUCCUCCAGACACCUUCCAGGAAGGAAGCCGGCACCUGCUGUCCAGCAGUUCUAGCCACAUCCGCUGGCCGCCUUCCUGCUCCUUGCUGGAUCUGAAAGGUGUGGGGGAUGGGAACAGGCAAAGCACCUCGCAGGUGUUGUCCCUGAACAAAAGAAGGCAUAGGCCCGAGUGGCAGAAACGAAGGGCGAAACCACAGCCAAAGCGGCUGGGUGUAAGCGGGGAGCCUGGCGCCAGAGAGGCGUUAGAGGAGCCACGGGCAGGCUCCAGGGCCCAGGCCAAGGCUCCACCAGCAGCGUGGGAGGAGCAGGUAGGGCCUGAGCUUGCUCGCAGGACGGUCUUGCUCUGAGCUCAGGAGGAAAGCAAGCGCAUCAGAGCUGCGCCUUCCUUCCAAGGCGACUGGCGAGGCCUGUCCACCGCUCAGGGAAGCAGGAGGAAGCGCCUGGUCUCUCUGGGGACACGGGGGUGUCGCAUCCCUGGGCCCACGCGUGAAUGGGCAGAGUCCAGCUCGGUGCCACCUUGAAGGCCAGGAGCCCCAAGCACAGAAACUAACGUAACGCUUCGCCUAAAGCA
rnacentral:lncRNA from 1 species